AUUGAACGCUGGCGGCAUGCCUUACACAUGCAAGUCGAACGGCAGCAUGGAAGAGCUUGCUCUUCUGAUGGCGAGUGGCGAACGGGUGAGUAAAGCAUCGGAACGUACCGUGUAGUGGGGGAUAACGUAGCGAAAGUUACGCUAAUACCGCAUACGCACUGAGGUGGAAAGCAGGGGAUCGCAAGACCUUGCGCUAUACGAGCGGCCGAUGUCAGAUUAGCUAGUUGGUAGGGUAAAGGCCUACCAAGGCGACGAUCUGUAGCGGGUCUGAGAGGAUGAUCCGCCACACUGGGACUGAGACACGGCCCAGACUCCUACGGGAGGCAGCAGUGGGGAAUUUUGGACAAUGGGCGAAAGCCUGAUCCAGCCAUGCCGCGUGAGUGAAGAAGGCCUGGUGU
rnacentral:rRNA from 1 species